AUUGAACGCUGGCGGCAGGCCUAACACAUGCAAGUCGAGCGGCAGCGGGAAAGUAGCUUGCUACUUUUGCCGGCGAGCGGCGGACGGGUGAGUAAUGCCUGGGAUAUUGCCCAGUCGAGGGGGAUAACAGUUGGAGACGACUGCUAAUACCGCAUACGCCCUACGGGGGAAAGCAGGGGACCUUCGGGCCUUGCGCGAUUGGAUAUGCCCAGGUGGGAUUAGCUAGUUGGUGAGGUAAUGGCUCACCAAGGCGACGAUCCCUAGCUGGUCUGAGAGGAUGAUCAGCCACACUGGAACUGAGACACGGUCCAGACUCCUACGGGAGGCAGCAGUGGGGAAUAUUGCACAAUGGGGGGAACCCUGAUGCAGCCAUGCCGCGUGUGUGAAGAAGGCCUUCGGGUUGUAAAGCACUUUCAGCGAGGAGGAAAGGUUGUUGGCUAAUACCCAGCAGCUGUGACGUUACUCGCAGAAGAAGCACCGGCUAACUCCGUGCCAGCCGCCGCCGUAA
rnacentral:rRNA from 1 species